rnacentral:misc_RNA from 1 species
GAUGAAGAACGUAGCAAAAUGCGAUACUUGGUGUGAAUUGCAGAAUCCCGUGAACCAUCGAGUUUUUGAACGCAAGUUGCGCCCGAAGCCGUUUGGCCGAGGGCACGUCUGCCUGGGCGUCACGCAUCGCGUCGCCCCCCACAAAUUCUCCGUCAGGGGAUCUUGUGUUUCGGGGGCGGAUACUGGUCUCCCGUGCUCAUGGCGCGGUUGGCCGAAAUAGGAGUCCCUUCGAUGGACGCACGAACUAGUGGUGGUCGUAAAAACCCUCGUCUUUUGUUUCGUGCCGUUAGUCGCGAGGGAAGCUCUUCAAAAACCCCAACGCGUCGUCUCUUGACGGCGCUUCGACCGCGACCCCAGGUCAGGCGGGACUACCCGCUGAGUUUAAGCAUAUCAAUAAGCGGAGGA